CGCCUCCUAAUACAUGCAAGUCGAGCGAACAGACGAGGAGCUUGCUCCUCUGACGUUAGCGGCGGAGGGAGAGUAACACGUGGAUAACCUACCUAUAAGACUGGGAUAACUUCGGGAAACCGGAGCUAAUACCGGAUAAUAUAUUGAACCGCAUGGUUCAAUAGUGAAAGACGGUUUUGCUGUCACUUAUAGAUGGAUCCGCGCCGCAUUAGCUAGUUGGUAAGGUAACGGCUUACCAAGGCAACGAUGCGUAGCCGACCUGAGAGGGUGAUCGGCCACACUGGAACUGAGACACGGUCCAGACUCCUACGGGAGGCAGCAGUAGGGAAUCUUCCGCAAUGGGCGAAAGCCUGACGGAGCAACGCCGCGUGAGUGAUGAAGGUCUUCGGAUCGUAAAACUCUGUUAUUAGGGAAGAACAAAUGUGUAAGUAACUAUGCACGUCUUGACGGUACCUAAUCAGAAAGCCACGGCUAACUACGUGCCAGCAGCCGCGGUAAUACGUAGGUGGCAAGCGUUAUCCGGAAUUAUUGGGCGUAAAGCGCGCGUAGGCGGUUUUUUAAGUCUGAUGUGAAAGCCCACGGCUCAACCGUGGAGGGUCAUUGGAAACUGGAAAACUUGAGUGCAGAAGAGGAAAGUGGAAUUCCAUGUGUAGCGGUGAAAUGCGCAGAGAUAUGGAGGAACACCAGUGGCGAAGGCGACUUUCUGGUCUGUAACUGACGCUGAUGUGCGAAAGCGUGGGGAUCAAACAGGAUUAGAUACCCUGGUAGUCCACGCCGUAAACGAUGAGUGCUAAGUGUUAGGGGGUUUCCGCCCCUUAGUGCUGCAGCUAACGCAUUAAGCACUCCGCCUGGGGAGUACGACCGCAAGGUUGAAACUCAAAGGGAAA
rnacentral:rRNA from 1 species